CGCGGGGUGGAGCAGCUCGGUAGCUCGCUGGGCUCAUAACCCAGAGGGCGCAGGUUCAAAUCCUGUCCCCGCUA
rnacentral:tRNA from 1 species